rnacentral:rRNA from 1 species
AUUGAAGGGGAUUUGAUCAUGGCUCAGAUUGAACGCUGGCAGCAGGCCUAACACAUGCAAGUCGAACGGUAACAGGGAGGCUUAGCUUGCUGCUUUGCUGACAGCGAAGUAACUGGACGGGUGAGUAAUGUCUGGGAAACUGCCUGAUGGAGGUUAACUACUACUGGAAACGGUGGCUAAUACGCGCAUAACGUCGCAAGACCAAGAGGGGGACCUUCGGGCCUCUUGCCAUCAGAAUGGCAGAUGGGAUUAGCUAGUUGGUGGUAACGGCUCACCAAGGCGACGAUCUGGCUGGUCUGAGAGGAUGACCAGCCGCAGAUUUUGAGACACGGUCCAGGCUCUACGGGAGGCAGCAGUGGGAAUAUUGCACGUAAGGCGCAAGCACAGUGCAGCCAUGCCCGCGUGUAUGAAGAAGGCCUUCGGGUUGUAAAGUACUUUCAGCGGGGAGGAAGGUGUUGUGGUUAAUAACCACAGCAACGGUACCCGCAGAGAAGCACCGGCUAACUCCGUGCCAGCAGCCGCGCGGUAAUACGGAGGGUGCAGCGUUAAUCCGGGGUACUGGGCGUAAAAGCGCACGCAGGCGUUUAAUCCAAGUCGGAUGUGAAAUCCCCGGGCUCAACACGGGAACUGCAUUCGAAAACUGGCAGGCUUGAGUCUUUAUUAGAGGGGGUAGAAUUCGGGUGUAGCGGUGAAAUGCGUAGAAGAUCUGGAGAGAAUACCGGUGGCGAAGGCAUUUUGGACAAGACUGACGCGCUCAGGUGCGAAAGCGUGGGGAGCAAGCAGGAUUAGAUACUGGUAGUCCACGCCGUAAACGAUGUCUACUUGGAGGUUGUGCCCAGCGAGGCGUGGCUUCCGGAGCUAACGCGUUAGUAGACCGCCUGGGAGUACGGCCGCAAAGUUUAAAACUCAAAUGAAUUGACGGGGGGCCGCACAAGCGGUGGAGCAUGUGGUUUAAUUCGAUGCAACGCGAAGAACCUUACACGGUCUUGACAUCCACAGAACUUUCAGGAUAGUUGGUGCCUUCGGGGCACUGUGAGACGGUGCUGCAUGGCUGUCGUCAGCUCGUGUUGUAAAUGUUGGGUUAAGUCCGCAACGAGCGCAACCCUUAUCCUUUGUUGCCAGCGGUCGGCCGGGGCACAAGAACUGCCAGUGAUAAACUGGAGGAAGGUGGGGAUGACGUCAAGUCAUCAUGGCCCUUGACGGGCUACACGAUGCUACGGCGCAUACAAAGAGAAGCGACACUCGCGAGCAAGCGGACCUCAUAAAGUGCGUCGUAGUCCGGAUUGGAGUCUGCAACUCGACUCCAUGAAGUCGGAAUCGCGCUAGUAAUCGUGGAUCAGAAUGCCACAGUGAAUACGUUCCCGGGCCUUGUACACACCGCCCGUCACCAUGGGGUUGCAAAAGUAGGUAGCAACGCUUCGGGAGGCGCUUACCACUUUGUGAUUCAUGACUGGGGUGAAAGUCGUAACAAGGUAGCCGUAAGGGAACCUGCGGUUGGAUCACUCACUUA